UCCUAAAGUGCUAGUUAAAAUACAUGUU
rnacentral:piRNA from 1 species